CCCCGCGCCCCCGCUCUCCUCCAGCUGGCCCCUGCUGGGACCCCCCCGCCGCAGCGUCUGGUACAUCUACAGCGAUUACAUCAUCAAGGAGAAGACGGUGCUGCUGCAGAAGAAGGACAGCGAGGGCUUCGGCUUCGUCCUGCGCGGGGCCAAGGCGCAGACCCCCAUCGAGGAGUUCACCCCCACCCCGGCCUUCCCGGCCCUGCAGUACCUGGAGUCGGUGGAUGAAGGGGGCGUGGCCUGGAGGGCGGGGCUGCGCAUGGGCGACUUCCUGAUCG